rfam:Halobaculum gomorrense strain DSM 9297 genome assembly, contig: Ga0131215_105
GGGCUUGUAGCUCAGUCAGGGAGAGCGACGGACUCUUAAUCCGUCGGUCGGGGGUUCAACUCCCUCCAAGCCCG